rnacentral:lncRNA from 1 species
CCUCAGCCCAGCUGCUCUGUUCAUGGACCCGGAUGAGAAUAUUUUUAAUGCAGAUUAGCCCCUCGCAGAAAAUCAUCCAUAUCUUUUUAUCCGUGACUCCGAUUCCAGUGAUUCUAGCGGUCACGUCUUCGCUUCGUCAAGCCCGUCAAGAUGGUAUCAUUUUCACCAUGUGAUAUCACAGUGGAAAUGACCAUGUUGCCCUUGCCGUAGACAGCCCCUCCUCCGAGAGAGAACUGUUUCCGGCAAUUUCUUCCGCGAGUUUUUCGCGCUUCUUCCCGGUGGUGUCAUCAUCCCAGGCAAUCCACAACUUUCAUUUAUGUUAUUGCAUUGCAACAUUAUAGUCUCAUCAACUGCUUUGAUAAUAAAUAUAUCUGUUGAUAGUCUCGCCUAUGAGUAUGCACUGUUUGAAUAAAUGAAUGCCGUAUUGAGCACAAGACCGUUAGCAACUAACGGUUUCACCCACUAAUUUACUCUAUACUGUUGAGAUUAUUGUCUAUGAUUACUUUGUGAAUAUGGAUCAACAGUAGUGGCUAGAGCUUAUCAGAUUGCUAUGACAUCGGGUGUCAGCUGUGACAGAUUAUUCGGAGAUAAGAUAACUAGUUGGUUGAUCAGAGUCACCUGACCGGGCCCAUCCGCACAACCACCUCUUGCCGAUAUGGGACGGCCCUGACUUGAGCUGAUUGUGUGAUCUCUCACCGGUACUUCCAAAGAGGGAGGGUUAUGCACGCGUGCCACCUUGGUCCGGUGGGCGGUGAUAACUCUGUGAGCCCAGUUAAGUUGAGUUGGGCCCGUCCACGUUUGGGACAAUUUGUUUGGCCACGACGGUGGCACGUGUCAUGAGGACACGGGUGUCAUGAGCACACAGGGCCACCCAGGGCAGGACUCCAGAAGGGAGUGGUUGCCGGGGAUAUGAUGAGAGAGUCACGGGUCAGGAAAGUUUCGUUGGAGCAAUGUUGGUCCACCCAAAUGGGAUCACGAGGUCAGUGCUCCAGGGCGUGGGUAAAGUGUGCAACCUCUGCAGAGUGUAAAACCUAUUCGAAUAGCCGAGUCCAUGGUAUUGGACAACCCGACCAGACCUCGGUAGAAGGUCAACCGUAUCUAUGAUAGUAAUGAUGGAAGAACUCGUCUGAGUAUGUAACAGUUGGGCAUCGUGCCAGUGUAAUAGUUGGGCAUCGUGACAGUGUAACAGUUGGGCAUCGUGUCGGUGUUACAGUUGGGCAUCGUGCCAGUGUAACAGUCGGGCAUCGUGCCGAUGUUACAGUUGGGCAUCAUGUCGGCGUUACAUUUGGGCAUCGUGCCGGUGAUAAGUCCUCGUAUCCAUCUUGAGGAUACUCGCUAAGGAUCUUGGCAAGAUCACAUGAGUUGGUAUCACCUGGGUAUGGUGAGAGUAGCCUGGUAUAGUUAGUUCUCUGAUACUCCUUUAGUAAUAACAACCUUUUACUUAAUCUUGGUUGAUAUGAUGUUGUCUUGCCUUAAUGCUAAUGUUUGUUGUGAGCUUGCGAGUACAUUCAAAGUACUCACCUGGAUUGUCAUGCCAGUUUGCAGGUCAUGGCUUGAUUUCUUGAUUGUCAAAGAUUCCGAGUUGCGAGCUAGAAUGCGCGUUCCAGCUAGAGUCCCUGCAGAGUGGAGUUCAUCACAUCGGUAGUUGUUUUGGUGCCAGCGUAAGAUUUACCGUAGACAGGUGUAGUAUCGCCACGGCGAUGUAAUCUAUGUAUCCUUGUAAUCGUUUCCAUAGUAAUAAAGAGCUGAUUUGUUCUGUGCCAACGGUUCCGUAUUCCAGAAGAUCGGCCCUUGGGCUGGAAUGCGGGGUGUUCCAGUUUCCUCUGAGCCGGGGUGCCACAAGAGUUUGUAUUAGAGCAGGUUUGGUUGUAGGACGCCCUAGACCGCGCGAGCGUUAGUAACCGGUAGUACGGGAUCCAGUUGGUUUAGUGCACCUGUUUGUUGCAUUUGAUUGUGCAUAGCAUGCAUAUAGACUAGAUAUGCUAUUACUAACGAUGGAUAUGGUGCGUGUAGGUGGCAUCGGCUUCUAUUCACCACGUACGCUCUCCAG